rnacentral:RNase_P_RNA from 1 species
UCGGCAGAUUGGACGGUCGCGGGCACAAAGAAGCAAUUCUGUGCGUGAGGAAAGUCCGAGCUCCACAGGGCAGGGUGCAAGGUAACACCUUGUGAAGGCAACUUUAAGGAAAGUGCAACAGAAAAUAACCGCCGAUAUUUUUCGGUAAGGAUGAAAAGGCGAGGUAAGAGCUCACCGACGCCCCGGUGACGGAGGCGUAGUGUAAACCCCACUUGGAGCAACACCUGAUAGAAGAGGUCAAGUCGGCCCGGCGUCUCUUGGGAAGGUGGCUUGAGCCGUGCAGCGAUGUACGGAUUAGAUAGAUGACCGUCUUAAAUGACAGAACUCGGCUUACAGAUCUGCCGUAACA